rnacentral:lncRNA from 1 species
CCUGAGGUUGCAGUAGAGCGGAUUGACAUACAGAUCUUGUCUCUAUGAGGUUGCAGAGAGCAGAUCACAUUAAGUCUUAUCUCCCUGAAGUUGCAGUGGAGCAGACAGAAGAAAUUAAUCCUAUCUCCCUGAAGUUACAGUGAAGCGGAUUAACAUCCAGAUCUUAUCUUUCUGAGGUUGUAGAGAGCAGAUCGCAUCAAGUCCUAUCCCCCUGAAGUUGCAGUGGAGUAGACUAGAGAUAGCAAAAUUUUAUUCUUUUGAGAAGCUACAAGAUACAAGUCCUAUCUCCCUGACGUUGCAGUGGAGUGGAUUGAAGCACUAGUUCCUAUACCUCUGAAGACGCAGUAGUUUGGGAUGAGGCUACUUGAAGAGCGCUAAGGCCCAGUAUGCCCGGGCAAAAUUGGCCAUCUUAAAGUCUUUGCUCUGUUCCCGUUACACGACAACGAGUAAAGAGGGGCAGCUGUAAUACCCAAUUAUUGCCCGGGGCCCAAAACCAUUUACACAACCCAAAUCAAAUACUAAAACUAAAUACAUUUAACCCAAAUAACCCAAACUACAAUCCCAUUAACUUAAACCCAAGCCCAACUACAGUAUAGCCCAAGAGAAAAACCCUAAGACCCUAGCAGCAUUUUUUGUUUUCCCUUUCUCAAUGCCGUAGCAACUGCCCAUUGCCCCCACGUCCUUGCUCACACGCAUGGUAGCCCCGCACGAACGCUACGCACGUCCUCCACGCACCUGCAACGAACCAUGAAUGUCAAUAAUAGCAGAAUAUACGGCAAAAUGGUAGAGGGGGUUUUUAGAGAGUUGUUUUUUUUCAGCUAUAUAAAGCCAAGUAAAAUAUGUAAAGGAGGUUUUUUAGCAAAAAUAUUGACGAAAAAGUUAAAGAAAAUACGAAAAUAAAGAGAAUCAGAAAAAAAAGUUUUGAAGGUGAUUUGUUCUUUCCAAGUUUUUCUUUACUGUUUCUAUUUUUCCUUGUUUGUCUCAUCUUCCUUUUGUAUUUUACCUCAUUUUAAAAAACAAACCGAAAAGUAAAAGAAAUGGAAGAGUUUCUUACCAGCAGAGGCGCGCCGUUGACAUCGUUUGCUUCAUUUUGUCCAAAUCGAAGUUAGAGGGGAGGGGGUUUUGGCGUGAAGAACUGGGGAGAAGAUGAAAUAAUUCUUGCAGCUGUUGCUGCUGCAGAAUAGGGCUUUAAUUUAAGAUUGAAAAGGGUUUUAAGCACUAAUGGGUUAUUUACGUUUUUAAUCCUUCUAUUUUAUCCCAUCAUUUCAAAAUCUUUGUUGUUUGUUUUCAAAUUUUUUCCAUGAAAUGUUGAAUGUGUUUUAUUUUAAUCCAUUGCUGCGCAAGGUUUCG